UUCACAUAGGAUUUGAAAACCACCAGAAAAUGUGCUUGCUAUUAAAGAAUAUUUAAUUAGAAAAAAAGUCAUUUUAGGAAACAUCUUUUCUGUGUAACUUAUCCCAUCUAUCUUUUACCACUAACUCCUAGCUCCCAUUUCCUCCCCUGAAUUGCUGGCUCUUUGAAAGCAGAGCAUAAUUUUGGUCCCUUUUGUGUUCUUUCCACAAUCCCAUAUGCCUCACACAAAGAAGAGUGUAACAAAUGCUUAGUUUAAUGCCAUGGAUUUUAGAAAAGCCCUGUGAUAUAAACGAUGAAGCAGAUCAUCGACUCACCUGACACUCAAUAAGAAAGGUCAAGUGACUUGUCAUACAGCCAACAGGUGGUAGGGCCUGCGUUCAAACUCAGGCAGUUUGCUUCCCCUUGUAUAGUCAAGUGUACUAAUUAGCAUACACCCCUCCUUGGCCCCUCCCUACUCCCCAACUGGUAUUGUCUCCGUUUCCCUUGACAGCUUUGACAUUUACACUGAUACUCAUACCUCCUGCACGCAGUCCACUUACUGGGGGAAGCAGACUUCACUGCUGGCUGCUGACCGGGGACAUGUCGCUUGUUCCCACACUGGUCAUGGGCUCCCAUUCCCUGGAUGGAGUUAUUGCAUCAGGGGAGGGCAGUAAGCCUGCAGACUGUGACUGCUGAGGGAUUUCAGGGAGAGAAGUAUCCUCUCUCUUCUGGAAAAACUUUGAGUAACCACCUUCUUUCUCUGUCCUUACACAUGAAUGGAAGCGCAGCCUAGGCAGUUGUGGGCAGACAAGUAGGAGAAUGGAAGUGAUGCUGCCACUGCCAAGGGCAGACAGAUGCAGAAGUAAACCUGGCUUGGAUGACACUGGGCCAAUCAGAGAAAUUCUGUAGGCAUUCUGACCCUGGGACCAGUGAGAACGAGUGUGAGAUCUUCUCUGGAGUGGAGCCUGGGAGAUGAAAAUUGUGAUGCUGCCUCUGGCUGUGUGGAGAAAACCAGUCCAGAAGAUGAGCCAUGGAAACCGAGAUGCAGCAAAGGGCAGAGACACAGGACAGAGAGAAUAGCCCUGAUGAACACAGAGCAGAUGCUGCCUGCACACGGACCAGUGGCUUACUGGUUCAAGCGUCAUGGUGAACAGAACAUGCUGAAAGAUGAAGGAACUCAGGCCUGGAGAGGUGAAGCCGUAUGCCCCCAACUGACAUCACACGCUACCAAGUGGAAUAACCAAGGUUGACCCAGGCAGUACUAAGAGUCUUUUCUCCUGACCACUGCUCUGUAUUCCUAUGUGAUGUUUUCCAAGUCCCCACGUUCAAAACUGUAUUCAUCAGCCUUCUCUUUUCUUGCAGUCCAAUU